CCUACGGGUGGCAGCAGUGGGGAAUAUUGCACAAUGGGGGGAACCCUGAUGCAGCGACGCCGCGUGGGUGAAGGAGUAUUUCGGUAUGUAAAGCCCUAUCAGCAGGGAAGAACAAUGACGGUACCUGACUAAGAAGCACCGGCUAAAUACGUGCCAGCAGCCGCGGUAAUACGUAUGGUGCAAGCGUUAUCCGGAUUUACUGGGUGUAAAGGGAGCGCAGGCGGCGCGUUAAGCCUGGUGUGAAAGCCCGCGGCCCAACCGCGGGACUGCUUUGGAAACUGUGGAGCUAGAGUGCUGGAGAGGUAAGUGGAAUUCCUAGUGUAGCGGUGAAAUGCGUAGAUAUUAGGAGGAACACCAGUGGCGAAGGCGGCUUACUGGACAGUAACUGACGUUGAGGCUCGAAAGCGUGGGGAGCAAACAGGAUUAGAUACCCGGGUAGUC
rnacentral:rRNA from 1 species